rnacentral:rRNA from 1 species
AUUGAACGCUGGCGGCAUGCCUUACACAUGCAAGUCGAACGGCAGCACGGGUGCUUGCACCUGGUGGCGAGUGGCGAACGGGUGAGUAAUAUAUCGGAACGUACCUUAUUGUGGGGGAUAACGCAGCGAAAGCUGUGCUAAUACCGCAUAAUCCCUAAGGGGGAAAGCGGGGGACCGUAAGGCCUCGCGCAAUUAGAGCGGCUGAUACCUGAUUAGCUAGUUGGUGAGGUAAAGGCUCACCAAGGCAACGAUCAGUAGCUGGUCUGAGAGGACGAUCAGCCACACUGGGACUGAGACACGGCCCAGACUCCUACGGGAGGCAGCAGUGGGGAAUUUUGGACAAUGGGGGCAACCCUGAUCCAGCAAUGCCGCGUGAGUGAAGAAGGCCUUCGGGUUGUAAAGCUCUUUUGUCAGGGAAGAAACAGCAGCUCUAACACAGUUUGCGAAUGACGGUACCUGAAGAAAAAGCACCGGCUAACUACGUGCCAGCCGCCGCGGUAA